CGGGGUGUAGCGCAGCCUGGUAGCGCACUAGCCUUGGGCGCUAGUGGUCGGCGGUUCGAAUCCGCCCACCCCGA
rnacentral:tRNA from 1 species